rnacentral:rRNA from 1 species
AGAUUGAACGCUGGCGGCAUGCCUUACACAUGCAAGUCGAACGCGAAAGCGGGGCAACCCGCAAGUAGAGUGGCGAACGGGUGAGUAAUACAUCGGAACGUACCCAGUAGCGGGGGAUAACCCCUCGAAAGAGAAGCUAAUACCGCAUACGACCUAUGGGUGAAAGCGGGGGACCGCAAGGCCUCGCACUAUUGGAGCGGCCGAUGUCGGAUUAGCUAGGUUGGCGGGGUAACGGCCCACCAAGGCGACGAUCCGUAGCUGGUCUGAGAGGACGACCAGCCACACUGGAACUGAGAC